UCCCUGGUAGCUCAGAUGGUAAAGCAUCUGCCUGCAAUGUGGGAGACUCAGGUUCAAUCCCUGGGUUGGGAA
rnacentral:tRNA from 1 species